UACGGAGGGUGCAAGCGUUAUCCGGAUUCACUGGGUUUAAAGGGUGCGUAGGUGGGUUGGUAAGUCAGUGGUGAAAUCCCCGAGCUUAACUUGGGAACUGCCAUUGAUACUAUCAGUCUUGAAUACCGUGGAGGUCAGCGGAAUAUGUCAUGUAGCGGUGAAAUGCUUAGAUAUGACAUAGAACACCAAUUGCGAAGGCAGCUGGCUACACAUAUAUUGACACUGAUGCACGAAAGCGUGGGGAUCAAACAGG
rnacentral:rRNA from 1 species